AUUAUAAAGUGCCAAUGGUUGGAAUAUUUAUUCAUUGAUAUUUUAAACACAGAUGAAGUGUUAUAUGCUCUUUCCUUGUUUAUGUUUUCCUUGCAGCCAAAUGUUGUUGAAGCGGGCAAACUGCAAACCUGACAUAUGAGUGAUAUGACCCAAAUAUUGGAUAUGCAUCUUAGUUUGCUUCCAGUAAAAUGUAAACAAGACCUUAAGAAUUCUAUACGAGAUAAGAAAUAUUACGUUUAAAAUCAUGACUGGCAAAUUAGCAUGUGCGAAUUGAUGCUUCCUAAUAAUA